UCAGCACUUCCACUGCUUUCUUGAAUUUACACCGAUGGACUAGGUGAAGUUAUUUUUGAAUCUCAUGCAUGAUCUAUUGGUCUUUUUCACAUUUUAAGCAUUGUAAGCACUCUUGUAUCAGAAAAACCUUUGCUAAAUCAAUGGGAACUC
rnacentral:miRNA from 12 species